rnacentral:misc_RNA from 1 species
AAAGUCGUAACAAGGUCUCCGUAGGUGAACCUGCGGAGGGAUCAUUAACACGUUUCCAAAAAACGUUUACCAACCAAAUCAACGUGAACCAAAACCAACUCCCUUGUCAAUGUGACGAACGAAUAAUCAUCAGGGUGGAGUGCGGCGAAAGCUAGGGGCCCUCGAGGCUCCAAUCCAUUGGCAAGUGUCCUUGCGACCACCUGGCAGUCUACAUUCGUGUAGCGUUCUGCCGAAUUUUGUUUAACCCAAUAUUUUUAACCCCUUUCACAACAUACUAAUAACUGAACCAUUUUUUUUCUGCAUCGUCCGUCUUCGGAUGUGAUGAUGUGAAAAAAAGAUAUACGUAAUGCUGAACAACUCUUAGCAAUGGAUAUCUUGGUUCUC